GAUGAACGCUGGCGGCGUGCCUAAUACAUGCAAGUCGAGCGAACGGACGAGAAGCUUGCUUCUCUGAUGUUAGCGGCGGACGGGUGAGUAACACGUGGAUAACCUACCUAUAAGACUGGGAUAACUUCGGGAAACCGUAGCUAAUACCGGAUAAUAUUUUGAACCGCAUGGUUCAAAAGUGAAAGACGGUCUUGCUGUCACUUAUAGAUGGAUCCGCGCUGCAUUAGCUAGUUGGUAAGGUAACGGCUUACCAAGGCAACGAUGCAUAGCCGACCUGAGAGGGUGAUCGGCCACACUGGAACUGCGACACGGUCCAGACUACUACGGGAGGCAGCAGUAGGGAAUCUUCCGCAAUGGGCGAAAGCCUGACGGAGCAACGCCGCGUGAGUGAUGAAGGUCUUCGGAUCGUAAAACUCUGUUAUUAGGGAAGAACAUAUGUGUAAGUAACUGUGCACAUCCUGACGGUACCUAAUCAGAAAGCCACGGCUAACUACGUG
rnacentral:rRNA from 1 species